GCCGGAGUGGUGAAAUUGGUAGACGCACGGGACUCAAAAUCCCGCGGUAGCAAUACCGUGCCGGUUCGAUUCCGGCCUCCGGCA
rnacentral:tRNA from 1 species